rnacentral:rRNA from 1 species
GGCCUUUUGAUUAUGAUUUAAGGUCUUGCCUGCCCAAUGAUGUAAAAGUUAAAUGGCCGCAGUACUUUGACUGUGCAAAGGUAGCAUAAUCACUAGUUUUUUAAUUGAAAGCUUGUAUGAAAGGUUUGAUGAGAAAAGAGCUGUCUCUAUCUAAAAUUUUAGAAAUUUAUUUUUAAGUUAAAAAGCUUAAAUUUUUAUUGAAGACGAGAAGACCCUAUAGAGUUUUAUUUAUAUAGUAAUAAACAGUAUUUAGUAUUUAAAAUUUUAUUAYUAUAUAAAUUUAGUUGGGGAGAUUGAAAAAUUUGUAAAACUUUUUUUUUAUUUUUACAUUUAUUUGUGAGUAUUUGAUCCUUUAUUAGAUUAUAAGAUGAAAUUACCUUAGGGAUAACAGCGUAAUUUUUUUUAGAGUUCUUAUCGAAAAAAAAGAUUGCGACCUCGAUGUUGGAUUAAAAUUUAAUUUUUGGUGCAGAAGCUAAAGAAUUAGGUCUGUUCGACCUUUAAAUUUUUACAUGAUCUGAGUUUAAACCGGCGUAA